rnacentral:rRNA from 1 species
UACGGAGGGUGCGAGCGUUAAUCGGAAUUACUGGGCGUAAAGCGCGCGUAGGUGGUGAGAUGAGUCUGAUGUGAAAGCCCUGGGCUUAACCUGGGAACGGCAUUGGAUACUGUCUCGCUAGAGUGUGGUAGAGGGUAGUGGAAUUCCCGGUGUAGCGGUGAAAUGCGAAGAUAUCGGGAGGAACAUCAGUGGCGAAGGCGGCUACCUGGCCCAAUACUGACACUCAGGUGCGACAGCGUGGGGAGCAAACAGG